rnacentral:rRNA from 1 species
UACGUAGGAUGCAAGCGUUGUCCGGAUUUACUGGGCGUAAAGCGUGCGCAGGCGGUUGUGCAAGACAGAUGUGAAAUCCCCGGGCUUAACCUGGGAACUGCAUUUGUGACUGCACGGCUAGAGUGUGUCAGAGGGGGGUAGAAUUCCACGUGUAGCAGUGAAAUGCGUAGAUAUGUGGAGGAAUACCGAUGGCGAAGGCAGCCCCCUGGGAUAACACUGACGCUCAUGCACGAAAGCGUGGGGAGCAAACAGG